rnacentral:rRNA from 1 species
UCCUUUGACGUUAGCGGCGGACGGGUGAGUAACACGUGGGUAACCUACCUAUAAGACUGGGAUAACUUCGGGAAACCGGAGCUAAUACCGGAUAAUAUUUCGAACCGCAUGGUUCGAUAGUGAAAGGNGGUUUUGCUAUCACUUAUAGAUGGACCCGCGCCGUAUUAGCUAGUUGGUAAGGUAACGGCUUACCAAGGCGACGAUACGUAGCCGACCUGAGAGGGUGAUCGGCCACACUGGAACUGAGACACGGUCCAGACUCCUACGGGAGGCAGCAGCC